GCUAGUGUUAUUGUUGCUGGUUACCAUUGUUGGAUUCCCUGAAAAUAACAUCCCUCCACCUACAUGUCCUACAACACUAUUAUUUACACUAAAAUUAUUCAUCCCAAACUGACUAUAAUAAUCACUCAUCAAAAUCAUUUGGGAUGAUGUGUUGCCAAUUGUCCCUGAUUGAAAUGAUAAAGCUUGCUGCUGGUGAUAAUCAUCUGCAGCCAUUUCUUGAAUAAAGCAUUUAACUUUAUUCAAGAUAUAUCCAAGAUAUUUAUCUAAAUUCCUUGAAUCCACUCAAAGCUACUAAAGAAAAGCAAAACUAAAAUCAGAGCUUCAAAAUCCCAAAUAAAAACCAAACUUUAUUCCAAUACAGUAAAAGGGGAUGCAAUAAACAAAAUUAUACAGUACCAAGAUGAAUCAUUUCACCAAGAUACCUUCACUAACGGGAAAAAUCGACUUCAAGAAAUGGACCCCACUUGGGAAUUUGUAUCUUUGUUGAUUAAAUUACAUUGCUUCACACGUUUACCAUUACUGAGCUCAGCCACUUGCUGAAGCAUAAAACCCCAACCUCAAAGAAUCAAG
rnacentral:lncRNA from 1 species